rnacentral:lncRNA from 1 species
AAGCGCCCACCUUCCGCAAACCCCGCACUGUACCAGAGCAUCAGAGCGCGGUCUUCUUCUGUCUUCAGAUCAGCGGACACAGUGGAGGCCUGGACUUAAGUGUUUGGGGCCAUGAGUGAAUUGGAACAGCUACGAGAAGAGGCAGAGCAACUACGCGUCCAGAUCCAGGAUGCCAGGAAAGCCUGCAGUGACUCCACCCUCAAGCAGGUAUUAGCCAGAGGAGUAGAAGCACAACACCAAGAACAGCCCCCCCCACACACAUACACAUACAAAACUACACUUGCACACAAACAUUAUACAACUACACGCACACACCCUACACAGGCACACACUACAUAGGCACACACAAUACACAUACACACACACUACACAACCGCCCCCCCCACACACACACACAGACACACACACACACUACACAACUACACAACCUUCCGCACAACCUACACAACUACACAACCCCCCACACACGCUGUUUUAAGACAAAUAAAUAGGGGUGUCCAUUUAAUUCUGUGCA